UUAGGACCAAAGAAGUUUAUAUUUAUUUUAAAUAUCAAAAUAACACAAAGAACUAGUUCAAUAUACAAUACACUUCCUAGUCUUCACAGAGAACUGAAUUUUUCUAUAAAGACAUUUGUAUUUAUGAAACAUGAGACAGCUAAAAUAUCUAUGUAACACAAGAUACUUCACACACAGUUGACAAAAUAAUGAAUUUUGAUAUUUUAGAUUUUUCUUUGUAAUUGCUUUUAAGUGUCCUUUAAUGAUUAAAAACAAAACUUAUGAUUUGAGACUGAAGGCUAAGUUUAAAAGCAUUUCCACUUUAAUGUACAUCAUGAAUCCCCUUAAUCAGAACACUUACUACACAACAUAGAGCAGCUAAAUGCUCACCUCUGUACUCAUUCUUUUUGGCAGCCACACUCAUCUAUUGUAAUACAGUUGUAUCUAUAGGGAUAAGAAAAGUCCAAUUGUUGGAAGAAAUAAAAAUUUUGUAAUUACACCACAGUACACUGUCCAACUUUAACGCAAGCAGGAAUAUCAAGCAAAGAGGCAAAAUAACAAUGGGAAGUAUACAUGCUCUUCAUUCAAGAAAUGUUUUAGACUCUCCAACAAUAAUGCAAGCACUGAAAUUACUUUUUACUUAAGAAUUUAAAAAAAGAUAUGUCCGUCUUUGUAUAACUUCUAUUCUCGGAAUAUAAUUCUUAUUUUCUCUUUGUAUAAAUGGCUGCAGAGGCUAAAUUUAAAUUGUCUUGAGAUUCUUCAAUAGUCAUAGAUUUAAAAUCAAUACAUAGCAAGGUGAAUGAAACAUGAAGAGUAAACAAAACAUAGUCACUCUCUCUACCAAGACCUUCUUUCUCUCAUCUUCCACACAACCUAAUCCUAUUACUUCUAUCUUAUUAAUGCUACUUCCAAAGGGAAGAGCAGAAAGCAUGCUAAUAUUCUAGGAUAAAAGGAUCUUUAAGUUGAAAUAACAUUAGAGGAAACAAGGGGCUGAUCCCAAAAGAACACUAUAGAUUUUACUGAGAGGAAUGUGCAAAAGGGGGAGGAUCUAUGGAAGGAUUGCCUAUAGGUCCUAGAAAUUAUUUAGAAAAUUACUCUAUUAUCCAUUAUUCACUGUAAUCACAAGUAACAUUUAUCAUAAUAGUAUUUAAAAAGUUUUAGAAAUGCUACUUGUUCCUUAUUAAAGAAUACAUUUUUAGUCACUUCAAAUUUGGCACUGAAUCUUAGAACAAUCCAAAUAUGACUUUAAAA
rnacentral:lncRNA from 1 species